rnacentral:rRNA from 1 species
UACGUAGGGGGCAAGCGUUGUCCGGAUUUAUUGGGCGUAAAGAGCGUGUAGGCGGCCUGACAAGUCUGCUGUGAAACUCGAGGCUCAACCUCGAGAUGUCGGCGGAAACUGUCUGGCUAGAGUCCGGAAGAGGAGAGUGGAAUUCCUGGUGUAGCGGUGAAAUGCGCAGAUAUCAGGAAGAACACCCGUGGCUAAGGCGGCUCUCUAGUACGGUACUGACGCUGAGACACGAAAGCCAGGGGAGCAAACGGG